rnacentral:rRNA from 1 species
UGGGGAAUUGUUCGCAAUGGGCGCAAGCCUGACGACGCAACGCCGCGUGGAGGACGAAGACCUUCGGGUCGUAAACUCCUUUCGAUCGAGAAGAAUGCCUUCGGAGUGAAUACCUCCGGAGGGUGACGGUAUCGAGAGAAGAAGCCCCGGCUAACUCUGUGCCAGCAGCCGCGGUAAUACAGGGGGGGCAAGCGUUGUUCGGAAUUACUGGGCGUAAAGGGCUCGUAGGCGGCCAACUAAGUCACACGUGAAAUCCCCAGGCUUAACCUGGGAACUGCGUGUGAUACUGGAUGGCUUGAAUUCGGGAGAGGGAUGCAGAAUUCCAGGUGUAGCGGUGAAAUGCGUAGAUAUCUGGAGGAAUACCGGUGGCGAAGGCGGCAUCCUGGACCGACAUUGACGCUGAGGAGCGAAAGCUAGGGGAGCAAACGGG